rnacentral:rRNA from 1 species
GUUUCAGCCGCCGCGGUAAUACAGAGGUCUCAAGCGUUGUUCGGAUUCAUUGGGCGUAAAGGGUGCGUAGGCGGCGGGGCAAGUCAGGUGUGAAAUCCCGGAGCUCAACUCCGGAACUGCAUUUGAUACUGCCUCGCUAGAGUACUGGAGAGGAGACUGGAAUUUACGGUGUAGCAGUGAAAUGCGUAGAGAUCGUAAGGAAGACCAGUGGCGAAGGCGAGUCUCUGGACAGUUACUGACGCUGAGGCACGAAGGCCAGGGGAGCAAACGGGAUUAGAAACCCCCGUAGUCC